AAGUCGUAACAAGGUUUCCGUAGGUGAACCUGCGGAAGGAUCAUUACAGUAGUCACCCGGGUUGCCGCAAGGCCUCCCGGGUAACCUACCACCCUUUGUUUAUUACACUUUGUUGCUUUGGCAGGCCUGCCCUCGGGCUGCUGGCUCCGGCCGGCGAGCGUCUGCCAGAGGACCUAAACUCUGUUUGUCUAUACUGUCUGAGUACUAUAUAAUAGUUAAAACUUUCAACAACGGAUCCCUUGGUUCUGGCAUCGAUGAAGAACGCAGCGAAAUGCGAUAAGUAAUGUGAAUUGCAGAAUUCAGUGAAUCAUCGAAUCUUUGAACGCACAUUGCGCCCCCUGGUAUUCCGGGGGGCAUGCCUGUCCGAGCGUCAUUACAACCCUCAAGCUCAGCUUGGUGUUGGGCCCCGCCGCCCCGGCGGGCCCUAAAGUCAGUGGCGGUGCCGUCCGGCUCCGAGCGUAGUAAUUCUUCUCGCUCUGGAGGCCCGGUCGUGUGCUCGCCAGCAACCCCCAAUUUUUUUCAGGUUGACCUCGGAUCAGGUAGGGAUACCCGCUGAACUUAA
rnacentral:rRNA from 1 species